rfam:Desulfuromonadales bacterium C00003096 3datasets_contig_93143.2, whole genome shotgun sequence.
GGACAAGGACAGAUGAUCGCCGGUCCGCAUUGCGGGCGGGAGGAAAGUCCGGGCUCCGCAGGACAGGAUGGUUCCUAACGGGAACCGGGGGUGACCCUAGGGAUAGUGCCACAGAGAGAAGACCGCCUCCAUGGGCUUCGGCCCCAGGGGGUAAGGGUGAAAGGGUGAGGUAAGAGCUCACCAGGUCCGGCGGUGACGUCGGACGCUCGGUAAACCCCAUCCGGAGCAAGGCCGAAUAGAGGAGUGUUUGAGAGCGGUCCGCUCGAGACUCCCGGGUUGGCUGCUGGAGACCGUCGGCAACGGCGGUCCUAGAGGAAUGAUCAUCGCUUCGGCACAGGUAACUGUAUCGAAGAACAGAACCCGGCUUACGUCCUUGUCCGGCC